rnacentral:tRNA from 1 species
UCUCUGGUAGUUUAGUGGUCAUGAUUGUACGCGUCUCUCGCUGUCACUUGUAUUUACAUUCACUAACAUCUAUAUAGUCCGCUUGUCAUAAUGGCAAAGCGCGGGAGACCUGGGUUCGAUUCCCAGUCAGAGAG